AACGAACGCUGGCGGCAGGCCUAACACAUGCAAGUCGAGCGCUUCACUUCGGUGAGGAGCGGCGGACGGGUGAGUAAUGCUUGGGAAUAUGCCUUUGAGUGGGGGACAACAGUUGGAAACGACUGCUAAUACCGCAUAACGUCUACGGACCAAAGGGGGGGAUGCUUCGGCACCUCUCGCUCAUUGAUUAGCCCAAGUGAGAUUAGCUAGUUGGUAAGGUAAUGGCUUACCAAGGCGACGAUCUCUAGCUGGUUUGAGAGGAUGAUCAGCCACACUGGGACUGAGACACGGCCCAG
rnacentral:rRNA from 1 species